rnacentral:rRNA from 1 species
UACAGAGGGUGCGAGCGUUAAUCGGAAUUACUGGGCGUAAAGCGUGUGUAGGUGGCUUGACAAGUCGGUUGUGAAGUCCCCGGGCUCAACCUGGGAAUUGCUUCCGAGACUGUCAGGCUAGAGAUCGGUAGAGGGCGGUGGAAUUUCCGGUGUAGCGGUGAAAUGCGUAGAUAUCGGAAGGAACACCAAUGGCGAAGGCAGCCGCCUGGGCCUGAUCUGACACUGAGACACGAAAGCGUGGGGAUCAAACAGG